AACAGGAUUAGAUACCCUGGUAGUCCACGCCCUAAACGAUGAACACUCGAUGUUAGCGAUAUACAGUUAGCGUCUAAGCGAAAGCGUUAAGUGUUCCACCUGGGGAGUACGCCCGCAAGGGUGAAACUCAAAGGAAUUGACGGGGGCCCGCACAAGCGGAGGAGCAUGUGGUUUAAUUCGAUGAUACGCGAGGAACCUUACCCGGGCUUGAAAGUUAGUGAAUGAUUCAGAGACGGAUCAGUCCUUCGGGACACGAAACUAGGUGCUGCAUGGCUGUCGUCAGCUCGUGCCGUGAGGUGUUGGGUUAAGUCCCGCAACGAGCGCAACCCCUAUGUUUAGUUGCCAGCAUGUUAAGAUGGGGACUCUAAACAGACUGCCUACGCAAGUAGAGAGGAAGGAGGGGACGACGUCAAGUCAUCAUGGCCCUUACGUCCGGGGCUACACACGUGCUACAAUGGAUGGUACAGAGGGCAGCUACCUGGCAACAGGAUGCCAAUCUCCGAAAGCCAUUCACAGUUCGGAUCGGGGUCUGCAACUCGACCCCGUGAAGUUGGAUUCGCUAGUAAUCGCGUAUCAGCAAUGACGCGGUGAAUACGUUCCCGGGCCUUGUACACACCGCCCGUCAAGCCAUGGAAGCUGGGGGUACCUGAAGUCGGUAACCGCAAGGAGCCGCCUAGGGUAAAACCGGUAACUGGGGCUAAGUCGUAACAAGGUAACC
rnacentral:rRNA from 1 species